GAACGCACCUUGCACUCUUUUGUUAUUCAGAAGAGUAUGCCUGUUUGAGUGUCGCGAACCUCUCAACCCCGCCCGGGUAAUACUGGGUUGUUUGGGCUUGGAUCUUGAUCGUUGUCGGCUGUUCGUUAGAAACCGACUUGAUUUAAAUAUAACAAGCUGAAUCAUAACAUUUGCGGCUUGACCUGACGUUGUAAAUCAACUCGUUGGGGACGCAGUGUGUGAAAGAGCUUUGUAAAUAAAUAACUUGCAGUGAUGCAGUACAUUCAGACCUCAAAUCAGGUAGGACUACCCGCUGAACUUAAG
rnacentral:misc_RNA from 1 species